UUUGACAUGCAGGUGGUAGGGAUCCGAAAGGUGAACGACCUUCGGGAGCCUGCACAGGUGCUGCAUGGCUGUCGUCAGCUCGUGUCGUGAGGUGUUAGGUUAAGUCCUGCAACGAGCGCAACCCUCGUCGCUAGUUAAAUUUUCUAGCGAUACUGCCGUAAAACGAGGAGGAAGGUGGGAUGACGUCAAGUCACGCACCUUGGCCUUACGCCUUGGGCUACACACACGCUACAAUGGGUGAUACAACAGGUUGCGAAAGAGCGAUCUGGAGCUAAUCCCUAAAAUCAUCCUCAGUUCGGAUUGCAGGCUGAAACUGCCUGCAUGAAGUUGGAGUUGCUAGUAACCGCAGGUCAGCACACUGCGGUGAAUACGUUCCCGGGGCUU
rnacentral:rRNA from 1 species